UACAGAGGUCUCAAGCGUUGUUCGGAUUCAUUGGGCGUAAAGGGUGCGUAGGUGGCGCCGUAAGUCGGGUGUGAAAUUUCGGAGCUUAACUCCGAAACUGCAUUCGAUACUGCGGUGCUUGAGGACUGGAGAGGAGACUGGAAUUCAUGGUGUAGCAGUGAAAUGCGUAGAGAUCAUGAGGAAGACCAGUGGCGAAGGCGGGUCUCUGGACAGUUCCUGACGCUGAGGCACGAAGGCCAGGGGGAGCAAACGGG
rnacentral:rRNA from 1 species